rnacentral:rRNA from 1 species
AUUGAACGCUGGCGGCAGGCUUAACACAUGCAAGUCGAGCGGAGAGAGGUAGCUUGCUACUGAUCUUAGCGGCGGACGGGUGAGUAAUGCUUAGGAAUCUGCCUAUUAGUGGGGGACAACAUUUCGAAAGGAAUGCUAAUACCGCAUACGCCCUACGGGAGAAAGCAGGGGAUCUUCGGACCUUGCGCUAAUAGAUGAGCCUAAGUCGGAUUAGCUAGUUGGUGGGGUAAAGGCCUACCAAGGCGACGAUCUGUAGCGGGUCUGAGAGGAUGAUCCGCCACACUGGGACUGAGAAACGGCCCAGACUCCUACGGGAGGUAGCAGUGGGGAAUAUUGGACAAUGGGCGGAAGCCUGAUCCAGCCAUGCCGCGUGUGUGAAGAAGGCCUUAUGGUUGUAAAGCACUUUAAGCGAGGAGGAGGCUACUUUAGUUAAUACUCUUGGAUAGUGGACGUUACUCGCAGAAUAAGCACCGGCUAACUCUGUGCCAGCAGCCGCCGUAA